rnacentral:sRNA from 2 species
GACUACAUCAUGGAGAUCCAACCGGCUGUUCCGGGAAAGACGGACACUCUGGCUUCCACUUGCGCUUGACGAGACGAUUCGGUUGAUCAUCGACUUCUCACCGUGGGGACUUAUCCAUCUAAUUCUGAGUGAUGCUUCGGGCAUAAUAUUAAAGCCAUCCCUACUCCUCAUCUAGCUCCGGACUUGUCUACAGUAUUUUAUACAAAUUAAACCUGGGAAAAAAUGAAAACAAAAAAUUGAAGGCGCUAUAGUAUCUAAUUGUCGCCUCACUUCAUGCAAGCCCGUCGUGAGCUUCAAAAUGCAAAGUACUAUUCUUUUCAAAUGGAGCAAAGGUCCUCCUCAAUAGGACCAGAUGUUUUCUACUUCUACCUCUCUCUAUUUAUCCAUCCGUUGCCCCUUUAGUCAAUAACCGGAUCAUCCACCCUCACAUCUAAUCAAGAUUAGUCCCGCUUUCGUCACAAUCUCCCUUGCCUGAAUACCGCUUUGUCGUGCACACAGCUAGCACAAACCUUCCCAUCCAUCGUCAGAAGACUCCCUGUGAAAUUAACGAACUUCUUCCCCGCAGCCACCAGCUGAACCACGACCCUCACCUUUGUACCCACCGGUAUAGGCCUCAGAAAGGUCACUGUCAAUGUCCGACUGAGCGUCGAAAGCGUCGGGUCGCUACCGGGAACUGACAGCACUGCUGCCGACGUUAGCACGUCCAGAAUCGUCGUUGAGCAGCCGCCGUGUAAUAUUCCCAGCGAAUUGCACAUUCGCCCUGUCACUGUGAAUUCGAAUUCGACGGUGCUCGGCUCGACUUUGACGAGCUUGACGGCCUUCAUACAUGACGCAUCCCAACUGGAGGUCUCAGGGUAGGCGGAAGCGGUGUUGAGGAUGGACUGAAUCUUGUCCCAAGGGGUUUUUUCUUUGUUGGUACCCAUGUUAUGGAGGAUUGUAACGAACGAACGUGCGUGUGAGGGAUGAUUCGCAAGAUUAUGUUGGAGGCAGCGGCAAACAGUGGGGCUUCGGAUGCUUCUGCUUGCAAACUAUGAUAACGUUCUGCACAGCCGCUAAGCCGCUGAAGAACAGGGGGAAAAAAUGGGAUAGGACGAUCUGAUAUCAGAGCAGAGAUUGAGAGGAGGGAGAGAUUUGCGAUUUGUCCGGAAUGUAGGGUUCUCAACUAUCCCAAGGCCUAGGGAAACAACUCAAUGCCCAGCGUUUCUGUGGACACUCGUUUGAGGCCGUUUUUUAAUUCAACCUCGGUAGUUCUGCUCACUGGCAAACGAUGCACGCACAAAGAUAUAGAUAGGUUAACCCUGGGAAGCGCCCCAAACUAUGAAAAGGGAAUAAGCCCCAUAAAAAUCAUGAUUACGAAGCUGCGGUGCAAUGUAAACCACUUCGAGUAUGGCGACAAUUGCGUCCAAUGGUGG